UGGGGAAUAUUGCGCAAUGGCCGAAAGGCUGACGCAGCGACGCCGCGUGUGGGAGGAAGCCCUUCGGGGUGUAAACCACUGUCAGGGGGGAAGAACUUCGCACGGGCGAAUAGUCCGUGCGGCUGACGGUACCCCCAGAGGAAGCGCCGGCUAACUCCGUGCCAGCAGCCGCGGUAAGACGGAGGGCGCAAGCGUUGUUCGGAAUUACUGGGCGUAAAGCGCGCGCAGGCGGCUUCUUAAGUCCUCUGUGAAAAUCCGGGGCUCAACCCCGUGAAAUGCAGAAGAUACUGGGAGGCUAGAGACCGGUAGAGGCUAGCGGAAUUCCUGGUGUAGCGGUGGAAUGCGUAGAUAUCAGGAAGAACACCGGUGGCGAAGGCGGCUAGCUGGGCCGGGUCUGACGCUCAUGCGCGAAAGCGUGGGGAGCAAACAGG
rnacentral:rRNA from 1 species